CGAAGCAACACGAAGAACCUUACCAGGUCUGACAUCCCCUGACAACCCGAGAGAUCGGGCGUUCCCCUUCGGGGGACAGGGUGACAGGUGGUGCAUGGUUGUCGUCAGCUCGUGUCGUGAGAUGUUGGGUUAAGUCCCGCAACGAGCGCAACCCUCGACCUUAGUUGCCAGCAUUCAGUUGGGCACUCUAAGGUGACUGCCGGCUAAAAGUCGGAGGAAGGUGGGGAUGACGUCAAAUCAUCAUGCCCCUUAUGACCUGGGCUACACACGUGCUACAAUGGGUGGUACAAAGAGCAGCUAACUCGCGAGAGUAUGCAAAUCUCAAAAAGCCAUCCUCAGUUCGGAUUGGAGUCUGCAACUCGACUCCAUGAAGUUGGAAUCGCUAGUAAUCGCGGAUCAGCAUGCCGCGGUGAAUACGUUCCCGGGCCUU
rnacentral:rRNA from 1 species